rnacentral:rRNA from 1 species
ACUCCUGCGGGAGGCAGCAGUGGGGAAUUUUGGACAAUGGGCGAAAGCCUGAUCCAGCAAUGCCGCGUGUGUGAAGAAGGCCUUCGGGUUGUAAAGCACUUUUGUCCGGAAAGAAAUCCUUGGCUCUAAUACAGUCGGGGGAUGACGGUACCGGAAGAAUAAGCACCGGCUAACUACGUGCCAGCAGCCGCGGUAAUACGUAGGGUGCGAGCGUUAAUCGGAAUUACUGGGCGUAAAGCGUGCGCAGGCGGUUUGCUAAGACCGAUGUGAAAUCCCCGGGCUCAACCUGGGAACUGCAUUGGUGACUGGCAGGCUAGAGUAUGGCAGAGGGGGGUAGAAUUCCACGUGUAGCAGUGAAAUGCGUAGAGAUGUGGAGGAAUACCGAUGGCGAAGGCAGCCCCCUGGGCCAAUACUGACGCUCAUGCACGAAAGCGUGGGGAGCAAACAGGAUUAGAUACCCUAGUAGUCCCAGG